rnacentral:misc_RNA from 1 species
GGGGCAGCCUAUGGACUUGAACUUCCAACUUUUUGAAACAGCAACUCUUUUCAUAACUGUUAUAGUUGUAGCCUUCUUUCUGCAGGAAGGAACCUCUAAUUACUUUAAAGGACUAAUGCUCAUUCUUUGUUAUGUAAUUGUGGCUGCAAGUUUCUUUGUGCAUGAGGAUCCUAGGCCAAAAGGAGGAUAAACAGUUGAAACCAUAUUAUUGUGGCAGCCACUUUAUCACCAAGAGUUGGUCAAUCAUGCUGGUGUGUAUAUAUAUUAUCUACUCUGAAAUAUUCAAUUUUUUUGGCUUUUGAUAGUGCGUGUUCAGUUAAUGCUAUUGAACAGGUGCCUUGCCC